GACGAACGCUGGCGGCGUGCUUAACACAUGCAAGUCGAACGGAAAGGCCCUGCUUUUGUGGGGUGCUCGAGUGGCGAACGGGUGAGUAACACGUGAGUAACCUGCCCUUGACUUUGGGAUAACUUCAGGAAACUGGGGCUAAUACCGGAUAGGAGCUCCUGCUGCAUGGUGGGGGUUGGAAAGUUUCGGCGGUUGGGGAUGGACUCGCGGCUUAUCAGCUUGUUGGUGGGGUAGUGGCUUACCAAGGCUUUGACGGGUAGCCGGCCUGAGAGGGUGACCGGCCACAUUGGGACUGAGAUACGGCCCAGACUCCUACGGGAGGCAGCAGUGGGGAAUAUUGCACAAUGGGCGGAAGCCUGAUGCAGCAACGCCGCGUGCGGGAUGCCGGCCUUCGGGUUGUAAACCGCUUUCGCCUGUGACGAAGCGUGCGUGACGGUAAUGGGUAAAGAAGCACCGGCUAACUACGUG
rnacentral:rRNA from 1 species